GGUGGGCGCAGGGCUCAGGGAGAGCCUCGUUAUCCACGGUGUGGGGCAGGGAGCGGGGAGCUCUGCUGGAGGAGUGAAACAGCACGCAGGAAACCAGGCUGCACUCUGGGUUGAGGUUAAAGAUUUUUAAUCACUUUUGCAGAAUACAGAUACGAUUCCAACAAAAACUAUUUUUUUUUGGGGGGGGGGGUCUCAGGAAUUCACUUAUUAAUACCAUACAUUGAACUCUAUAAAUUCUCAUAUAAGAAAAAGAAGUCUUUUUCAUAUAGGUUAUGAUGCACUGGCGACCUAUUUGAAUCUUGAAGUCAACGCUUUGCAGCUAUAUAGCACCUUUCAUCACAGGGCUGCAAAGCAUCCUAUGGAAUUUAGCCUCAUAAUGCCCAAACGAGAUAAAUAGGGAGAGGAGGGUGAGGGGCUCCCACAGCUGGGUGUCACUGCAGCGCUGCCGAGCAUCUGUGCGCAUGGGGGGCAGGUGGAGAUUUGGUGCUUGAUGCCUCGUCCAGCUCGAGAGCUUCCUGUGGCAAUGCCCUCCUUCCCUCCAAGUGAAUCAUCACCACCUCCUGCACUCCUGGUUUUCCUUCAAUGCAAACCCAAAUCUCUGCUGAGAAACCAGCAGCUCAGCUCAGCGACCCUUCCUGCAGAUGCAGGACAGAUGGAGCUGCAGUGCUGGGUGCAGGAGCGCUUUCUGUUCGUCCCAGCUGUGCCCUGUGCUCACAUUCACCACCUCCUCCCAAAAUUCUGCGCUGCUCACGGGGCUGAAAGGCCUCCCCCAGUCAGCAACUGAACCCAAAGGUUCUGCAGCACCCGGCCCCACGGCUCUGCUCUCUGCAGGAAACAGGCAGGGGCUGCAGUGCCCUUUCACUCUGUGUCUCCGAGGGGACGUGGCUUGGCUGGAGGUUACAGCCAGAGAAACCCAGAGCCUGCCUUCAUUCUCAAGCUGGCAGAGCAAUUCCUAUCGUAACUGAGCCGCUUUCUGCACCUCACUGCGACACCAAACGCCUCCAGGCUCCUCCAUCCACCCGCAGACACCGGGCUGAGCACCUCUGAACCAACACUGCGAGCACCGACUGCUCUGCACGAGCCCUGCGCUGCCGUUCCCUGCAGCAACACCCUCAGAAACGCCGCCCGUCCUCCCCAGCCAACAGCCACAGCGUCGCCUCUGUGCGCCGAGCCGCAGCCAGGCGGGCUGCAGCAGUGGAAGGCACGGGGAUGGGGGAGGACAGCCUCCAGCACGAGGCGUCGCCCUUCUUGCGCUCAUCGUGGCUGUUUCUCUCCUCUCCAACACGAGGUUUUCCUCCCCCAAAGCUUACACCGUCAAUACACGGCGUUGCACGGCCAGCAGGGGAUUCAGCUCUCGUCCCAAAGCGCCUCAUCUGAGCUCUCAGAGCUCCAGCACUGCUGCGUCAUCUCCGUGCCUCGGACCUGCGUGACCGCGAAGGGCUGGGAGCCUCAGCACAGCGCCCAGGGCGGAUCUCAAUCCGGAAUGGAAACCGAAAGCAUCUGUUCUGAUCCUCGCACCACCCAGCGGCCCUGUCUGCCUCAGAGCCAUGAGAUAAAAGGGAUUUUUUACCAUGGGGAACAACCGCCUUCAGCCAGCCACGCUUUUAGGGAUUCACCUCUCCCUGCUGAGGGCAAAUCCCUCCCAUUCUAAGUACCUGGAAAAAUAAAAUCAACAUAAGCAGAAGUGCUCACAAAAAAGCAACGGGCUCCAGCCAGGGCAAACCGAACGCGUUAUGCAGCAGCUCCUGGCUCCUUCCCUCCUCCUGACACUGAGAUUCAGACACAGCUCCAUUUGUCACCAAUGCAGCUCGGGCUUCUUUCCACCCCCUACAAACCCAGCCAUGCGGUCACUGAACUCCUUUUUCCCUGAAGCAUCCCAGCACAAAACGCCGUGCCUGCAUUCAAACCACUGCAACACCGCCGUGGGGAGGGAAGGUCGGCGUUCAGAGCAUGAAACCAACCUCCAACGAGCCUCCGAGCAGCCAGGGCAGCUUCUGCAAUAGAACAGAUGGACAACAGCCAAGGGAACCAGGAUCCUGCCCAGGAGGGCAGAGCAGAGCAGGGCAGGACACACACACACACAGUGGGCUUGGAGCAGACACAACCAGGGGCAGCUUUACUUUUCACAUAAGUUUUCUGUAUUAAAAAAUACAUCAGUGAAAUCUGUUACAGGCAAGGGACAGGACUACCGAGUUUACACGACGUCAAUAGGCUACUUUUCUGAUUUUAUUUGUGUUUUUUUUUCUUGUUAAAUUACUUUUGUUACCUCUAAAAAAAAAAAUAAUUAAAAAAAAAAAGACAAC